CUACGGGACGCACCAGUGAGGAAUAUUGCACAAUGGGGGAAACCCUGAUGCAGCAACGCCGCGUGGAGGAUGACGCAUUUCGGUGUGUAAACUCCUUUUAUGAGUCAAGAAAAUGACGGUAGCUCAUGAAUAAGCACCGGCUAACUCCGUGCCAGCAGCCGCGGUAAUACGGAGGGUGCAAGCGUUACUCGGAAUCACUGGGCGUAAAGGACGCGUAGGCGGGAUUGUAAGUCAGGUGUGAAAUCCUACAGCUUAACUGUAGAACUGCACUUGAAACUACGAGCCUAGAGUAUGGGAGGGGGAGAUGGAAUUAGUGGUGUAGGGGUAAAAUCCGUAGAUAUCACUAGGAAUACCUAAAGCGAAGGCGAUCUCCUGGAACAUUACUGACGCUAAGGCGUGAAAGCGUGGGGAGCAAACAGGAUUAGAUACCCCUGUAGUC
rnacentral:rRNA from 1 species